UACGUAGGGGGCAAGCGUUGUCCGGAAUCAUUGGGCGUAAAGAGCGUGUAGGCGGCUCGGUAAGUCCGCUGUGAAAGUCCAGGGCUCAACCCUGGAAUGCCGGUGGAAACUGUCGAGCUAGAGUCCGGAAGAGGCGAGUGGAAUUCCUGGUGUAGCGGUGAAAUGCGCAGAUAUCAGGAGGAACACCAAUGGCGAAGGCAGCUCGCUGGGACGGUACUGACGCUGAGGCACGAAGGCCAGGGGAGCAAGCGGG
rnacentral:rRNA from 1 species